GACGAACGCUGGCGGCGUGCUUAACACAUGCAAGUCGAACGGAAAGGCCCUGCUUUUGUUGGGUGCUCGAGUGGCGAACGGGUGAGUAACACGUGAGUAACCUGCCCUUGACUUUGGGAUAACUUCAGGAAACUGGGGCUAAUACCGGAUAGGAGCUCCUGCUGCAUGGUGGGGGUUGGAAAGUUUCGGCGGUUGGGGAUGGACUCGCGGCUUAUCAGCUUGUUGGUGGGGUAGUGGCUUACCAAGGCUUUGACGGGUAGCGGGCCUGAGAGGGUGACCGGCCACAUUGGGACUGAGAUACGGCCCAGACUCCUACGGGAGGCAGCAGUGAGGAAUAUUGCACAAGGGGCGGAAGCCUGAUGCAGCAACGCCGCGUGCGGGAUGACGGCCGUCGGGUUGUAAACCGCUUUCGCCUGUGACGAAGCGUGAGUGACGGUAAUGGGUAAAGAAGCACCGGCUAACUACGUG
rnacentral:rRNA from 1 species